rnacentral:tRNA from 1 species
UGUCAAGGGAUGGGAAUCGAACCCACGACCUUCCGCUUACCGGGCAGAUGCCAUGACCACUAGGCUACCUAAGAC